CGCUGGCGGCGUGCCUAAUACAUGCAAGUUGAACGCUUGAUUUUCACCGAAGCUUGCUUCACCGAAAAUCAAAGAGUAGCGAACGGGUGAGUAACGCGUGGGGUGACCUACCUAUCAGCGGGGGAUAACUAUUGGAAACGAUAGCUAAUACCGCAUAACAAUGUUGGAUGCAUAUUCGACAUUUGAAAGUACCAACUGGUACACUGAGAGAUGGACCGCGUUGUAUUAGCUAGUUGGUAGUGUAAUGGACUACCAAGGCGAUGAUACAUAGCCGACCUGAGAGGGUGAUCGGCCACAUUGGGACUGAGACACGGCCCAAACUCCUACGGGAGGCAGCAGUAGGGAAUCUUCGGCAAUGGACGAAAGUCUGACCGAGCAACGCCGCGUGAGUGAAGAAGGUUUUCGGAUCGUAAAACUCUGUUGUUAGAGAAGAACGUUGCAUAGAGUGGAAAAUUAUGCAAGUGACGGUAUCUAACCAGAAAGGGACGGCUAACUACGUG
rnacentral:rRNA from 1 species